GGAUCGAUGAUGACAAGAAGUCUUCGAGGAUGCUGACUGACUCAAACUAAUGGCAAUCUGUGGUCC